GGCUCAGAUUGAACGCUGGCGGCAGGCCUAACACAUGCAAGUCGAGCGGUAGCACAAGAGAGCUUGCUCUCUGGGUGACGAGCGGCGGACGGGUGAGUAAUGUCUGGGAAACUGCCUGAUGGCGGGGGAUAACUAGUGGAAACGGUAGCUAAUACCGCAUAACGUCGCAAGACCAAAGUGGGGGACCUUCGGGCCUCACGCCAUCAGAUGUGCCCAGGUGGGAUUAGCUGGUAGGUGGGGUAACGGCUCACCCAGGCGACGAUCCCUAGCUGGUCUGAGAGGAUGACCAGCCACACUGGAACUGAGACACGGUCCAGACUCCUACGGGAGGCAGCAGUGGGGAAUAUUGCACAAUAGGCGCAAGCCUGAUGCAGCCAUGCCGCGUGUGUGAAGAAGGCCUUCGGGUUGUAAAGCACUUUCAGUGAGGAGGAAGGGUAAUGUGUU
rnacentral:rRNA from 1 species